CCUACGGGAGGCAGCAGUGAGGAAUAUUGGUCAAUGGGCUUACGCCUGAACCAGCCAAGUCGCGUGAGGGAAGACUGCCCUAUGGGUUGUAAACCUCUUUUGUCAGGGAGCAAUUGGCGCUACGUGUAGCGUUAUCGAGAGUACCUGGAAAAAAAGCAUCGGCUAACUCCGCGCCAGCAGCCGCGGUAAUACGGAGGAUGCGAGCGUUACCCGGAUUUAUGGGGUGUAAAGGGUGCGUAGGCGGAUUGCCAAGUCAGCGGUAAAAUCGCGGGGCUCAACCUCGCGCCGCCGUUGAAACUGGCGUUCUAGAGUGGGCGAGAGGUAUGCGGAAUGCGUGGUGUAGCGGUGAAAUGCAUAGAUAUCACGCAGAACUCCGAUUGCGAAGGCAGCAUACCGGCGCCCAACUGACGCUGAGGCACGAAAGCGUGGGUAUCGAACAGGAUUAGAUACCCUAGUAGUC
rnacentral:rRNA from 1 species